CCAGAGAGUCAAAAACUUUUUGCUUUUGAGUGGGAAAAUCCUGAAACAGGGCAAAAGACACAAUAUACUUGGACAGUUCUACCACAAGGCUUCAAGAAUAGUCCAACUAUUUUUGGAAAUCAGCUGGCGAAGGAAUUAGAGAUUUGGAGAAAAGAAAAUGGACAGGGAACUGUAUUACAAUAUGUAGAUGACAUCCUAAUUGCAACAGAGACUCAG